rnacentral:misc_RNA from 1 species
UCUCCGUUGGUGAACCAGCGGAGGGAUCAUUGUCGAGUUUAUAACUCCCAAACCCUAUGUGAACUUACCACUUGUUGCUUCGGCGCGCGCUUCGGCGCCGCCGAGGACACUUAAACUCUUUGUUUUUAUGAGCAUUUCUGAGUGGCCGAAAGGCAAAAUACAAAUGAAUCAAAACUUUCAACAACGGAUCUCUUGGUUCUG